GAAUGGAUCCGGAGAUCGGAGAUCGGAGAACGCAGAUCGGGGAUCGGGGGGAUCGGUGAGUGGAGAUCGAGGUCUUUGGUGUGGGGAUUGGGCUCACCAUCAACAUCUCACUCUGGCAUUGGCAUUUCUAUGUGGAUUAAUGAAUGGCAGCAGCACCAAGAUGACGCUUGGAUGCCGGAGGUGGUUAGGAGUAAGUAGAAGAUUUCCAACUGCAUUUUCCUCAGUGCUUUGGAGGAGACAUGUGUUUACCUUUCAUAUAGACACACACAUCCAUUGUCGGGAGCAGUCAACAGGCCCCUAAUUAUGUGUAAAGGUGUUGUAUGUGCUCCUCGCUCCAAGAUUCCGCCCCUUCCCAUUUUUGUCAUCCAUCUCGCCGAGCUACAAGGGUUAAUUAGUGUGGUAUACAGGAUUGUCGGCGGUACAAACGGAUAUCGAGAGUCGUAGAUGGCCAUAUACAAUUGGUGCGAGCUACUGGAAAAGCUUCUGGUUCUGGUUCUGGUUCUCCUUUGAUUGUAACUUAUUGAUUUUCUGGAGACAGCUGCUCCCUGAUACCCUCCCCAGGAAUGUUUGACCAUUUGCACUUUUAUGACCCUCGACGAAUCGAAAUCGAAUGCCCCGGAAAAUAUAUAAACAAUAUUAAAACGGGGAAAAGGGAAUGCGCGCCAAGUCAUCAUAAAAUGACAGAAGAGGACAAUAAAAAUAAAUUUAACACAACAUUUGUUUUGGGCAUCCGCAAACGCAAACGCCGGCUUAUCCUGCGCAUCCUGCUGCUGCCAUGUUUUGUGCAAGGACCCAAUAACAAUCAAGGGGCAGCCAAAAUAUUUUCAAUAAUAAAUCUAUUUGAUGGUC